rnacentral:tRNA from 1 species
GGGUGAUUAGCUCAGUUGGUUCAGAGCAUUUGCCUUACAAGCAAAGGGUCACUGGUUCGACUCCAGUAUCACCCA